rnacentral:rRNA from 1 species
GAUGAACGCUGGCGGCGUGCCUAAUACAUGCAAGUCGAGCGAACAGACGCGGAGCUUGCUCCUCUGACGUUAGCGGAGGACGGGUGUGUAACACGUGUAUCACCCCCCUAUAAUACUGGGAUAACUUCGGGAAUCCGGAGCUUAUCCCGGAUAAGAUCUUGAUCCGCAUGGUUCAAUAGUAAAAUACGGUUUUGCUGGCACUACUAGAUGGUUCCCCGCCGCAUUGGCUGGUUGUGAAGUAAACGGCUUACCAAGGCAACGAUGCGUAGCCGACCUGAUAGGGUGAUAGGCCACACUGGAGCUGGGCCGCGGACCAGGCUCCUACGGGACGCCGCAGUAGGGAAUCUUCCGCAAUGGGCGGAAGCCUGACGGAGCAACGCCGCGUGAGUGAUGGAGGUCUUCGGAUCGUAAAACUCUGUUAUUAGGUAAGAACAAAUGUGUAAGUAACUAUGCACGUCUUGACGGUAACUAGUCAGAAAGCACCGGCUAACUACGUG